GAACCCCUGCUCUAGCGUCUGGAGAGCAAGUUUUCAAGAGGAAAAUAUGAGCAUUGAAGUUGUUAGGACACAAAAUGCAUGCAUGUGUUAUGGAGGCACAGAAGAAUCUGAAUCUGCCAGCUGGCAUCUAAUUCAUGUUGGAAGACUGAGCCACUAUCGUUCCACGUCAGAUAUAAUGUGGCUUCAGGAGGUGGGACUAUGCAUGCGUCCCUGCACUGCAACUGGAACCAGGACCCUGGAGCCCUGACACUGCAACUUCUGCUGGGAACUGCAGCCCCAUGGCAUCCUGGCCUUGGUGGGGGCUGCAGCCAGGGCCAUGUGCCCCAACCCCACAGCAUCCUGGGCUUGUCAGAGGCCGUGCACUCUAACCCCGUGGCUUUCGCCGCAGGAUGUAGCUGAGGUUGUGCCUCACUUGUGGCUUCCCAGGGCCACGCGCCCCCCACCCCGUCCCUGGCUGCAGCCAGGGCUUGGCAGGGGCUGCAGUCAGCACACCUCUGUCCUGCAGCUGCGGCCAGCACACCCCUGUCCUGCAGCAGCAGCCAGCUCAGGAGCAGGAGCUGUGUGCCCCCCAUGGCUGCACCCCCCACUGCAGCUGCUGAAGCUGGUGCUGUGUCCCCCGCUAUGGCAGGGGCUUUGGCCUGUCAGCCCUCCACCCCCAUACCAUGGGACUCCAUUCCUCCCCCCAUGCCUAGCCCUGCCCCCCAGUUAUUUUUAGUAAAGUCACGGAUAGGUCACGAGUUCCGUGAAUUUUUGUGUAUUGCCCAUGACCUGUCCGUGACUUUUACUAAAAAGAACCGUGAUAAAAUCUUAGCCUUACACAUAAUUAAUGAUAGACUCAAUGGAUAGAUAGGAUGUGGCUUGAAUUCUCACUCUCCUUAUCAUUUCAUAUGUAACUGGAGAGGAGAAAGAGCUUGGAAACUGCCCAGAUCUUCCUCUCAGGGCUGGGAGGGGGAAAAGGAAAAAGUCAUAACAAUGCCCAACUUCCUGCCAAUUAACUAUUCCUCACUUAAAUGGGACCCUGGCGCUUUUCCCUUUUGAAGUAGUUUGAAUAAGAGGACUUGGGGAGGUUUUUGGACUUACCCUCAAAGACCCUGACGGAUAAGUCUAAUAUACCCUAUUGAGUCUCAAGUGCUGAAGAGGACUAAUCCUCCCCCUGUGUAGAGACAUUUCCAAAAGGAUCUUGGCCACAGAGUAUGCGGAAAGCAUCAGGUGAAGGUCUGGUGGAUGGGAUUAACUGUGGCUGAGCUCCCGUUCAGUGGCUCCCAAGUGUGUCUCCUCACCUUAUUGCUUUCCAUGCCACUUGCCUACUCCACCAUGCUAAGGGAAGGGGGAAUAAACAGAGUCAGCAGCUCACUGGGUGAUCUUGUUCAGGAUGCAGAGCCUCAGAAAAUUUGUUCCUCCAAACAAGAUGGCGGUGAGGAGUUUCAGUUCACUACUAACCACACACAUGUACUCUUUUCAAACUGAGAAGGCAAUUGAAAAUGCAGACUCACUAAAUUGCACCACUGGAGGCAGAGAACCUGGUGUGUGAGGUGGGGAAGGGGUGCAGCCAAGCCCUGGAGCUGGAUGAACAAGUGUGAGCUGUCUUCACUAUUCACAGAUAUCAGAACUGAGAAAGAAAUCAGGAUCCAGAAAAGACUUAGAACCUCAUGCCUAGUGCAUGACACAAAAAACUGGCAGAUUUUCAUCCUGGUGAGUUACACAUGGAAUGCACGAAAGUUCUAGAGAUGUGCCUGAAAAUAUUAAACUUUUUUAGUGUAGCUUAAAAAUCUAAACUAGAUUCCAUUUC